GACGUAGGGGGCCAGCGUUGCUCGGAAUUACUGGGCGUAAAGGGUCCGUAGGCGGUGCGGUAAGUCGGGAGUGAAAUCUCUGGGCUUAACUCAGAGGCUGCUUCCGAAACUACCGUGCUAGAGUGCGAGAGAGGCAAGUGGAAUUGCGGGUGUAGCGGUGAAAUGCGUAGAUAUCCGCAGGAACAUCCGAGGCGAAAGCGGCUUGCUGGAUCGCAACUGACGCUGAGGGACGAAAGCUAGGGGAGCGAAUGGG
rnacentral:rRNA from 1 species